GAUGAACGCUGGCGGCGUGCUUAACACAUGCAAGUCGACCGAAGCAUUUAAGCCAGCUUACUUCGGUUUGAAGUCUUUUAUGACUGAGUGGCGGACGGGCGCGUACCGCGUGGGUAACCUGCCUCAUACAGGGGGAUAGCAGCUGGAAACGGCUGGUAAUACCGCAUAAGCGCACAGUACCACAUGGUACAGUGUGAAAAACUCCGGUGGUAUGAGAUGGAACCGCGCCUGAUUAGCUUGUUCGCGGGGUAACGGCCCACCAUGGCGACGGUCAGUAGCCGACGGGUGAGCGUGACCGGCCACAGUGGAAAUGAACCACAACCCAGACUCCUACGGGAGGCAGCAAAGGGGAAUAUUGCACAAUGGAGGAAACGCGGAUGCAGCGACGCCGCGUGAGUGAAGAAGUAGUUCGCUAUGUAAAGCUCUAUCAGCAGGGAAGAUAGUGACGGUACCUGACGAAGAAGCUCCGGCUAAAUACGUG
rnacentral:rRNA from 1 species